CCUACGGGAGGCAGCAGUGAGGAAUAUUGGUCAAUGGACGAGAGUCUGAACCAGCCAAAUAGCGUGAAGGAUGACUGCCCUAUGGGUUGUAAACUUCUUUUAUAAAGGAAUAAAACGAGGCACGUGUGCCUUUUUGCAUGUACUUUAUGAAUAAGGAUCGGCUAACUCCGUGCCAGCAGCCGCGGUAAUACGGAGGAUCCGAGCGUUAUCCGGAUUUAUUGGGUUUAAAGGGAGCGUAGAUGGGUUGUUAAGUCAGUUGUGAAAGUUUGCGGCUCAACCGUAAAAUUGCAAUUGAUACUGGCAGUCGUGAGUACAGUUGAGGUAGGCGGAAUUCGUGGUGUAGCGGUGAAAUGCUUAGAUAUCACGAAGAACCCCGAUUGCGAAGGCAGCUUACUAAACUGUGACUGACAUUGAUGCUCGAAAGUGUGGGUAUCAAACAGGAUUAGAUACCCUUGUAGUC
rnacentral:rRNA from 1 species